rnacentral:rRNA from 1 species
AUUUCCGUAGGGUAACCUGCGGAGGGAUCAUUACUGAGUUACCGCUCAUCAACCCUUUGUGAACAUACCUUAACUGUUGCUUCGGCGGGUAGGCGUCCCCUAAAAAGGACGUCUCCCGGCCCUCUCCCGUCCGCGGGUGGGGCGCCCGCCGGAGGAUAACCAAACUCUGAUUUAACGACGUUUCUUCUGAGUGACACAAGCAAAUAAUCAAAACUUUUAACAACGGAUCUCUUGGUUCUGGCAUCGAUGAAGAACGCAGCGAAAUGCGAUAAGUAAUGUGAAUUGCAGAAUUCAGUGAAUCAUCGAAUCUUUGAACGCACAUUGCGCCCGCCAGCAUUCUGGCGGGCAUGCCUGUUCGAGCGUCAUUUCAACCCUCAAGCUCUGCUUGGUGUUGGGGCUCUACGGUUGACGUAGGCCCUUAAAGGUAGUGGCGGACCCUCUCGGAGCCUCCUUUGCGUAGUAACAUUUCGUCUCGCAUUGGGAUUCGGAGGGACUCUAGCCGUAAAACCCCCAAUUUUACUAAGGUUGACCUCGGAUCAGGUAGGAAUACCCGCUGAACUUAAGCAUAUCAAUAA